rnacentral:rRNA from 1 species
UACGGAGGGUGCAAGCGUUAUCCGGAUUUACUGGGUUUAAAGGGUGUGUAGGCGGACUUUUAAGUCAGCGGUGAAAUCUCCGGGCUCAACCCGGAAACUGCCAUUGAUACUAUUGGUCUUGAAUGUUGUUGAGGUGGGCGGAACGGGUCAUGUAGCGGUGAAAUGCAUAGAUAUCUGGAGGAACACCGGUGGCGAAGGCGACAUCCUGGACCGGCAUUGACGCUGAGGCGCGAAAGCCAGGGGAGCAAACGGG